rnacentral:rRNA from 1 species
UUGAACGCUGGCGGCAUGCCUUACACAUGCAAGUCGAGCGGCAGCGCGGGGGCAACCCUGGCGGCGAGCGGCGAACGGGUGAGUAAUGUAUCGGAACGUACCCUGUCGUGGGGGAUAACACAGCGAAAGCUGUGCUAAUACCGCAUACGACCUGGGGGUGAAAGCGGGGGAUCGCAAGACCUCGCGCGAUAGGAGCGGCCGAUAUCGGAUUAGCUUGUUGGUGAGGUAAAGGCUCACCAAGGCGACGAUCCGUAGCUGGUCUGAGAGGACGACCAGCCACACUGGAACUGAGACACGGUCCAGACUCCUACGGGUGGCAGCAGUGGGGAAUUUUGGACAAUGGGGGCAACCCUGAUCCAACCAUUCCGCGUGAGUGAAGAAGGCCUUCGGGUUGUAAAGCUCUUUCAGCCGGAAAGAAAUCGCGCAGGCUAAUACUCUGCGUGGAUGACGGUACCGGAAGAAGAAGCACCGGCUAACUACGU